rnacentral:rRNA from 1 species
CCUGAGAAACCCAAAAGAUCGAAUGGGGAGAUUCAUCGUUCAGCUGCGCUGGCUUCCGUGCGUGCAGCGAUGACGGGGACCUCGGUCUCGCGUCACGCGCGCGCUGCGGCAUGUCCGGCGCAGUCGGCGUGCACUUCUCCCCUAGUAGGACGUCGCGACCCGUUGGGUGUCGGACCAAUGGCCGUUCGGUCGCCUGUGUCGUGCUCGCAAGGGUACGGCGCAGACCGUUCGGUCGAACGUCCGACUGCCCGGCGGUAUCGAACGUUGAAAACUGGUACUGGGCCGCAUUAAGUGCGUUCCUGGCUCGUCGGCAGGCUCGUCUCGCUCGGAUUUACGGACCUAGUGCCGUUGCCGGGCGCUUGACUGGGCUGUUGGUCGACGAUGUCCUCGGACUGGCUCUUACCGGUCGG